UUCUAAUGUAAUACCAACCCAUGGUUUUGUGCUAUGCAAACUGGGUUGUUGGAGGGGAUAGGGUUGUGCAUGCCCCACACUCUGUAUCUCCUAAAGUAACCUGUUGCCCUCAGGGAGGGAUACCACUGAGAGUCAGCUCUCAGUCUAGCUAGCUUCUGUAUGUGGAAGCAGCAGGGUGGCAUCUUGUCCUUUGUCUCUGAUCACAAGAUGCCCUGGGCUAGCACUGUCUCUGGGUUCACCUUGAUGCUUAGACUACCAUCAUAUGAAAAGUCAGAAGAGGAUACAGGCAAAGCCCUAAUGCACAGAGCAAUCCUAUGCAUAUUUACUCAGAAGUCGAUCCUACAGCAUGCAACGGGGCUUACUCCCCCAGUAAGUGUAGCUAGCAGGGGAAGGGAACCUAUGACAUUCCAGAUGUUACUGGACUCCAGCAUGGAUGGUGGUCUGCAAAGAUGGGAUUUGUGGUCUAGCAACAUCUGGAGGACCACUAGCUACCCAGCCCUGGUGUUUAGGAUUGCAGCCUAAAUGAAGGUGUGCCACUUCCAAUUAUGAAUUAUUUAAAGAUCUAGUUCUUAUUUUGUUUGUUUCCAAACUGUUAGGAAUCUCACAGCACUAAUAAAAACAUACAGAGGCCUUACAAAUGGAAAUUAGCAACAUGUAAAACAUUCUUCCAGAAAAUGAGCAGCACUUACACUAGAGAAAUAAGCAAAAAGGUUCCCACGGCCAUAUAUAUUCCAGAAUGCAAUAUAACCUGGGAAAUAACAGCAAUCACGGUAUCAAUAACAGUAUCAUAUAGAUGAAAAUGAGAUUUUCUGCAUUCCCCCCCUUAAAGUAGAAGAAAUCUGCCCUGUGGUUGAGGGUGGGGUGGGGAGUGUUGGUUUUCUGCUAGAAACUCUGAAACCUGAAUUUUUUUCUCUGUACUGAAAUGUUCAUUCUGACCCUACAAUGGUCACACAAUAGGCUCUGUACUAAGGCUGUUUCAGAAAGCUUCUACAGAGUAACAUCCUUCCACAAAUCUAGGUACUGAUGCAAGGCCUAAAGCCUCUUCUCAAUAUGCAGUUGGCACAAGGAAGAAAUUUUGAGUUGAAUUUCUUAAGAAAGGAUCUCCCUUGCUAAAACGCCUGUUUGAUCUGAGUGCUUCUUUCAACAGCGCUAAUCUUAAGAGGCAUUGCCUCUUAAGUGUCAAUGAUUGAACAACAUCCUCUUAAUAAUAUUUUGUAUUUGGGUAUCACUCUCAGGUGCUUCAAAGUGCUUCCUGUGCAUUAGCUAACUGUCAUCCUUACAGUAACCAUGUAAGUCAGGAUUAUUCUCUCUCAUAUUGCAAAUGGGGGGGGGGGACUGAAGGAGAGAGGGAGAGACUCUUACCUAAAGCCAUUGAGUUAAUGGCGGAGGUGAGCUUUGGACUGGGGGCUCCACCUGAUUCGUAGCUCAGUCUCUUGGCCACGGUGCUGCACCAUCAAAGUCACAAGUGCUGCAACUUAUGACAGCCUCAGGUGCCAUGGGGGUGUUCCCACCCACCUCCCUGCCCUGCUUGCCUGAUAUUUGGAUUGAGAGGAAAGCUCUAAUGGCUGCAAUGCAUGAAGACGGCUGCAGAGAUGUCCCGAUACCAGAUUCCAUAUGAGAACUUCACCAUCAAAACUAGAAGUGGCCAAGAAAUGUGGAGGACACGAAGCUACACAUAAAAUAUCGUCCUUGUGGCCCUGUUCCUGCAUGGUGCAAUGGCAAAGUGGUUAUUAUCAUGCAGUCAUUACCCUAUCAAGCACACAUGGGGUGUAUCUUAUGCUCUAAACUAAGAGUAGAGAAUCUCUGGCUCUCCAGAUGUUAUUGGUCUCCCAAGUCUCAUCAGUCCCAUCCAGCAUGGCUAACGGAAAGGGAUAACAGAUGCUGUAGUUUAGCAACAUUUGGGUGGCCCUGCUCUGCUCUAAGCAAAUUCAUGUAGAAAUCUUUUCAACUUUUAUUCAUGUUUAACUACCAUUUCUCACUGCAAGUUAAUAUCUUACCAUACUUCUAAUCCAGUCCAGUUGUGGGUAUGAGCCUUCAACGACUUCAUCAUCAAUAUCCUGAAAUUAAAAACUUUUCAGUUCCA